UCCUUCAGUGAAGUUUUCGAAAAAAAAAAAAAAAAAUCCUACAGUGAAGGUUGAGCUCGUUUCUUGCGGUUUUUGGUGUCAGAAGAAAGUUGUGCUCUCAAAGAUCUCUUCUUUCUGGUUUCGAAGCCGGGUUAUAUCAAAGGAUAUACAAAAUCGAAUUUCACAUCUUUGCAAUGUUUGUUUUUGUUCCAAGUGAGGCUGUUUAUCCACCUAGCAGAUAAUUGGGGCUCAAUAAUUCAUUGUCGCACCACAUCUUUGAACAUCUCACUAUUGUUGGAGAGUCUUCGGAAGCUCUGACGCAUUCUUUGGCGCAUCUCCAAGGCCAAUCAGAUCAGGUGAAAGGUGGGGCAAGCUUAGUGUUAAAGCGACCCCCACCAAUAAACGUUCCAAAAGUAUCGGAUUCAAGCACGUGGGAUACAUUCUGGGCAUUGGGACCAAAUAUGUCCGCAGACAUGAUUUUCAAAGUCCACAUGACCCUCUUUAGCGAUCCUUAGAACAAUUCGAUUAUGAUAAGCUCAUUCUGAGUCCUUCGAAGGGGUAUGAAACAUUUCCAACUCAGUUGUGUGCUGACAAUUGCUGCAUGAUUGAUCGUAGAAUGGUAAGUCAUUCACAUUUAAAUUUAGUCUUAUUGUUAUUUUGUCACCUACCACCUUGAAUUGAAAC